rnacentral:rRNA from 1 species
GGUCAAGUUAUUAAGGGUGCAGGGCGGAUGCCUUGGCACUAGGAGCCGAUGAAGGACGUGAUAAGCUGCGAUAAGCUUCGGGGAGUUGCACGUAAACUUUGAUCCGAAGAUUUCCGAAUGAGGAAACUCACUUAGAGUAAUGUCUAAGUAUCAUUAAGUGAAUACAUAGCUUAAUGAGGGGAACUCAGGGAACUGAAACAUCUAAGUACCUGAAGGAAGAGAAAGAAAUUCGAUUCCGUAAGUAGCGGCGAGCGAACGCGGAUUAGCCCAAACCAAUAAAGUUUUCUUUAUUGGGGUUGCGGACAUAUCAUAACGAAGAGGUAUCGUAAUUGAAGAGGUUUGGAAAGACCCACCACAGAAGGUAAUAGUCCUGUAUGUUAAACGAGAAGACUUUAGAUAUGAUCCAGAGUACCACGGGACACGUGAAACCCUGUGGGAAGCAGGAGGGACCACCCUCCAAGGCUAAAUACUACCUAGUGACCGAUAGCGUAUAGUACCGUGAGGGAAAGGUGAAAAGAACCCCGGGAGGGGAGUGAAAUAGAA